rnacentral:tRNA from 1 species
GCGGCAGUAGUGUAGGGGCAUCAUGCAAGAUUCCCAUUCUUACGACCGGGGUUUGAUUCUGGCUGGUGCA